UACAGAGGGUGCGAGCGUUAAUCGGAAUUACUGGGCGUAAAGCGCACGUAGGCGGCUUCGUAAGUCGGGUGUGAAAUCCCCGGGCUCAACCUGGGAACUGCAUUCGAGACUGUGAAGCUAGAGUAUUGGAGAGGAAGGCGGAAUUCCCGGUGUAGCGGUGAAAUGCGUAGAUAUCGGGAGGAACAUCAGUGGCGAAGGCGGCCUUCUGGCCAAAUACUGACGCUCAGGUGCGAAAGCGUGGGGAGCAAACAGG
rnacentral:rRNA from 1 species